rnacentral:lncRNA from 1 species
UCCUGCAGAGUUUGUUGUGGCACAAAUCCGGCAUGGUCCUGGGCCAAGUACAAGCAGGGGAGGAUUACAAGGUCUUUCCGGGCUUAACGUAAUCGUAGCAGGGAGACUACCCAACACCGCGAUGUCAUACCUUAGUGAGCGGAAGCCGAGAAGGAGUCUUCGGACGAGGGAGAGACGACACGACCUUGGAGGGAUUUGCUUGUAGGUGUCGUCGCUGACAGCCAACAGCUUUGACGUGCAAUAGUUAACCUAACACGAUUCGCGCGACACCGGGGUGCUGAGGCCGUCCCUGAGACUGCCAAUGGCUACAUGUCCCCGGACACGAAAUGUGGUUUCCCCUCGCAAGGGAAAAGUGGGCUGAGCUCACGCCACGUCUCUAGUCUGAGGCCGCAAGCGUCUACCUCAUCUCCCGGACAUAGCCAGGGUUAGUUCGUACAGGCACGGCACGCCUUGUGUCAGCUGCGUCCCACUUUGUCCCCUGAUGUCCCCGGCAAAGCGUCGACCCCCGUUCAAAUGCUCAGUCAGCCAGCGUAAUACGUCCGUUAGCACAAGACACAUGCCGCAUGCGCAUUAAUCGAUACCGCGCAUUAUGUACCAGCACCGUUUUUAAUGUUGCCCAACGCCCAUGUCAAUCCUACGGGCGGCGGUGCACAGUUGGCACCUUUCUCCAGUCAGCCGGCCGAGCUUAUACCACUAUCCCGUCACGCUCUAGCUGCUUCUAGUUUGCAAGCGCUGUCUAUCAGAAAACUCCUCACGUAAGCGCAAAUGCAGAACUCCCCACAUUGGCACAGCUGGUAAUCACAUGGCCAGCUUGGUGCCGGCAAGGAGCUUCAACCCCGGCCCUAGUGCCUAGCUAUGCCAUGCUAACCCUUUCAAUAUAUCUGAUAAGUGCCAGGUGCCAGCAAGUGCACAUUGACAAAAGCUGUGACAAAGCCUGCUGGUGACAAAGGUCGAAGUUAUAUCCAUUGGUUUGCUCCAUUAGCGUUAAAGCAUCACCCGGUGGAUCUGCGGCAGAAACUACCGCAAAUGUGAACCGCGGCACGGCGGGCACGCGGGCCAAAACGCGUUUUUGCCGUCGCGGAUCGUGCGCACGCCAUUGAAUUGUGCAAAUAAAAAGCAGUAACAUACAUCAAAAUAUUGCGUCAACUUCCAAAACAAAC